GACGAACGCUGGCGGCGUGCUUAACACAUGCAAGUCGAACGGAAAGGCCCUGCUUUUGUGGGGUGCUCGAGUGGCGAACGGGUGAGUAACACGUGAGUAACCUGCCCUUGACUUUGGGAUAACUUCAGGAAACUGGGGCUAAUACCGGAUAGGAGCUCCUGCUGCAUGGUGGGGGUUGGAAAGAUUCGGCGGUUGGGGAUGGACUCGCGGCUUAUCAGCUUGUUGGUGGGGUAGUGGCUUACCAAGGCUUUGACGGGUAGCCGGCCUGAGAGGGUGACCGGCCACAUGGGGACUGAGAUACGGCCCAGACUCCUACGGGAGGCAGCAGUGGGGAAUAUUGCACAAUGGGCGGAAGCCUGAUGCAGCAACGCCGCGUGCGGGAUGACGGCCUUCGGGUUGUAAACCGCUUUCGCCUGUGACGAAGCGUGAGUGACGGUAAUGGGUAAAGAAGCACCGGCUAACUACGUG
rnacentral:rRNA from 1 species